rnacentral:rRNA from 1 species
UACAGAGGGUGCAAGCGUUGUUCGGAAUUAUUGGGCGUAAAGCGCGCGUAGGCGGCUUUGCAAGUCGGGUGUGAAAUCCCCAGGCUUAACCUGGGAACUGCAUUCGAGACUGCAUUGCUAGAGUAUGGGAGAGGGAAGUGGAAUUUCCGGUGUAGCGGUGAAAUGCGUAGAUAUCGGAAGGAACAUCAGUGGCGAAAGCGACUUCCUGGACCAAUACUGACGCUCAUGUGCGAAAGCGUGGGGAGCAAACAGG